UUCCUAAUGACACUGGGUAGAUGAGAUUGGCCAGCCUGUAGCAGAGACAAAGAAAAGGCGCAGCACCCUGAGCCCAUCCCAGAGGAUUGAAAAGAGACAGGGAGCUAAAACCAAGGGAAAAGAAGUUGAGGGUCAGAGUCCAGCCUCAUUGUGAGAUGGAAAGCGCACCUGAACCAGUGCUUCAUGGGCCCCUCCCCGCCCCACUGCCUACCAAACUUCUCCAUUGACAAGCACCGUGGACCCUGUGGCUGGAAAGAAGAGGCACACUCCCACUUUGGCUGGGCUUGAGCUGAGGCAAGACAAGUCUGAAAAGCAGAGCAGCAGUCCAGAAAAGUGGAGAGCAAUAUUAAGAUGGCGUCUAAGGCAAGACAGUGGAGGGAGACAUGCUGGACAAUGCCAAGGAUUGGGGAGCAAACCAGAUGUGAACCCAGGGCACAGAGAGCUUGGGGGUAGGUAUCUGUCUGUAACCCUUCCCUGUCCCCUCUCACAGAUAGAGUCCAAGAGGGAUUCGAAGGACCGAACGACAGCUCCAGUACUAAAGGUGACUUAGGUGCCUGAUUCAGCUUCCAUGUGCGUGUCUAUCUGAAAUUGAACCAGUCAUCAGCCCUUUCCCAGCUGCCUCCUCACUGCCUAUCUGCUGUGUUCCUGGUGUUCUCUCU
rnacentral:lncRNA from 1 species